rnacentral:lncRNA from 1 species
UAUGUCUUCGUGAGGUUUUCACCUCCGCAUGGCCAUAGGGAAAUGUAUUCUCCUGAACUAAACUCAAUCCACAUGAGCCUAUAACGGGUGAGGGUUGAGGAAUCUGCUGGUUCAGGUACCAUUUCCUUAGAACUGAGCCACAUAUAGUGAACUCUAAAAGCCCACCCUAGAUAGAGCUAUGUUGAACCCCAGCGGUUACCC